GUAGUAGUAGUAGUAGUAGUAGUAGUAGUAGUAGUAGUAGUAGUAGUAGUAGUAGUAGUAGUAGUAAUAGUAGUAGUAGUAGUAGUAGUAGUAGUAGUAGUAGUAGUAGUAGUAGUAGUAGUAGUAGUAGUAGUAGUAGUAGUAGUAGUAGUAGUAGUAGUAGUAGUAGUAGUAGUAGUAGUAGUAGUAGUAGUAGUAUGCUGAGCUCAGAAAAGGUCAUAGGCUGAGUUGAAUUAAGCAUAUCGCUACAAAAAAGCUUCCUGUACCGACAUAUGCCGAGUUGGGCGAGCCAGCUAUAGGCCAUGCUGACUUCAGACCAUGCCGACUUAAAGAAAUUCUGGGCCAUGCUGAAUUUGCUGAGCUUGGCUCCAUAUGUUUCACGAAUGUAGACAGAUCAAUAUUGUUUAUGAUCGAUGACACUUUGCGUAAGAGGAACAAAUUAAUUAAGGCGUAAAACUCAAAUGUAGACAAGUAAAUUCAGACUGAACCAAAUUUUUCUUCAUCAACGUUGUAGUGCGAGAAUGGAAUAAGCUCCCUGCCUUCCUUCAGUGGUCCAGUGUAACACGAUUGAUCCCCUUUAAAAACAAGCUCGGCCGUCACUUCCUUCAACUCAAUAUAUUAACUAGAGUUGAAAUGCAACGUUAUGGAGCCAUCGGAUUAAUGUAGAAUCACUUAGUUUAAGGACAGGCCACUUAGUCUGGACCAUGGGGUCUGAUUUUCUAUGUAAAUCUGUAAAUUAAAACCCAUCCGACAGCUAUGAUGUAAUGUUUAAAUCUCCGCGUACCCAAUCAGCUGUUUUAAUCAGCUGAUCGGUCACCUCAGCACACUACUGAUAUAUCGUUUCCGGAGUCAUCACACUCGUACGGAACAUGUUUAUUGCCUGACUUGACCUGUGAUCUAGCAUACCCAGACACGAGGGAUCGCUGAAAUAAUCUUAUAGACUUACGAAAAAAUAACGUUUUUUUUUUUCAGAAUGGCAACACCGCCCGCUUGCCAUAAUAAUUCUUCCGGCUCGUCAUAUUUUACUCUUUUUCCACCUUUCUCGCCCCCUGCAUGCAUAAUAUUUAAUGCUAUACUUAACGGUAACACCAAUUAAGGGCUGAUAUCGAAUUAAGCCGUGAUGGGAAGAUCGUUCGUAAGAUUUACCCCCUAAAUACGGGAAGAGAGAGAGAGAGAGAGAGAGAGAGAUGCUGACUUUAAAUGCUGACUUCAUAUAUCACUUUUCUUCAUCGAGUCUAGCUGAGCCAUGCUGAAUGCUGAGAGCCACAAGACAUCUAUAACAAUCAAGCCUAGGCUGAGCUCUGAAAAUAGAGGCCAUACAUAUGCUGAUCGAGCUGAAGCAUAUUGCUACAAAAAUCUUCCUAUUUAACAACAUAUGCUGAGUUGGACGAGGCCAUGGAUACUGGCUUCAGACAAUUAAUGCAUGCUGACUUAAAGGAAGGUCACGUACAGCACUCAAAAACGUUUAUGCUGAGCUGAUAUAAAUUGAGCAUAAAAAAUGGCCAUGCUGUAACUUAUAUGUUAAUUAAGCCAUGCUGAUCAAAUCCUUACUAAACUCAGAUUAACAAAGUCAGCAUAUUAUAUUUAUAGCAUAGAAUUGGUAUGAAAAAAUCGGUCAUGCUGAGUACAGCCUGACAUCAUUGAAUCUUUAAUGCUGUCAUGGUGAUAUCUUGACCAUCCUGAGUUCAAAAUAGUCAGCAUUGAUACACAGGCUAUGCUGAGUGAGAAUUAACAUUACUGACUUAAUAAACCCCCAUAUGCUGAGCUCAGAUGGGAAACUAACACAUGCUGACUGAUUCUGGGCCAUGAGGUUGUUGACCAAUCCUUCCCCACUUAUAAAUUACUUGCAAUACUUAUAGGCUACUUUUGUGACUCUGUGUAGGCCUACAUUCCAUAAUACUCAACCUAACCUCAAUCCUCUCUCUCUCUAUACCAACUGGAUUUAGACAUUAAAAUUCUUCCUUAUGAACUGUUCUUAUAAAUUACUUGCAAUACUUAUAGGCUACUUUUGUGAUUCUGUGUAGGCCUAUAUAGUCAUUCCAUAUUCAACCUAAUCUAGAUCCUCUCUCUUUCUAUACCAACUGGAUUUAGCAAUUAAAAUUCUUCCUUUGGGGGUGUAAUUAAUCUCUGUAGGCCUCACUCAAUCUGAUGCCUUGGAACUUGGAUACAUAGUCAGUAUUAAUAUAUCCGAGUGCUGUGUUGGGUAAUUAAUCACUUACUUGAUCCUGAUAAAUACUGUUUGGGGACAUCAUUAAUUCUUCUCGGUCAAUCCUUGUUCAUUGAUAUGCUCAGGAACUUGGAUUAUAAACAAGUCUGAACUUUCAACAGUAAAUACAUAGUAAAUUCUGACAGCACGGGACUUUUCCAAACAGUCAAAUUCCCUCUAUAUAAAUAGUUUGUGGGUGGCUGGGGAGCUAAUUCAUUCUCCUAGGUCAACCCUCCCUCUUUCAAUGUGAUGGUUUAGCCCCUUGAAUUUUUGCCGGUACUAAUUAUAAGCUUUCAAGUGUUAAAUAUAUAGCAAAUUCUGAAUACAAGUCCUUUGCAGAUGGCUAGACUCCCUCACUCAAUCCCUUCCUACACACAGUUCUCCUCACAUAAGAAUAGACUCAUUGUUAUUAAGUCAGUGAUAAGCAUCUAAGCAGAAUAUGACCAAGAUAAGCUAUAGAUAAAAUUAAUAUAGAUAUACGUAGACAGAACCUCACAAGUUAAGCUAUUUCCAGUUUCCAAGGGCUGAGUUAAGCUGGGAGUUAGGUUAGAUCCUCGCAUGAAUUUAAGCUAUUUCCAGUUUCCAAGGGCUGAGUUGAGCUGGGAGUUAGGUUAGAUCCUCGCAUGAAUUUAAGCUAUUUCCAGUUUCCAAGGGCUGAGUUAAGCUGGGAGUUAGGUUAGAUCCUCACAUGAAUUUAAGCUAUUUCCAGUUUCCAAGGGCUGAGUUAAGCUGGGAGUUAGGUUAGAUCCUCACAUGAAUUUAAGCUAUUUCCAGUUUCCAAGGGCUGAGUUAAGCUGGGAGUUAGGUUAGAUCCUCACAUGAAUUUAAGCUAUUUCCAGUUUCCAAGGGCUGAGUUAAGCUGGGAGUUAGGUUAGAUCCUCACAUGAAUUUAAGCUAUUUGCAGUUUCCAAGGGCUGAGUUAAGCUGGGAGUUAGGUUAGAUCCUCACAUGAAUUUAAGCUAUUUGCAGUUUCCAAGGGCUGAGUUAAGCUGGGAGUUAGGUUAGAUCCUCACAUGAAUUUAAGCUAUUUGCAGUUUCCAAGGGCUGAGUGGCUGAGUGGCAGCAUCUGUUCUCCGGCUAUGAAGGAAAAAACACUUACUUUACAAUGUUCACCAAUAAAAUAUAACUUACCCAGACCAAUGGGUGCCAAGUGGCUUAACCCGGUAGCAGCGAGGGGCCAAAUUUGUGGCUUUACCGUGUAGCAGCGACGGGCCAAAUUUGUGCCAUGAUUUAAACCCCCCAAAAUAGAUGAUACAUAAAAUUAUCACAAAUGCUGAUAUAUAUUAUUAUGAAAUGGUUUGUGUGAGUGAUGAUUUUUUCCCAUUUUUCUCACUUAGAGGGACCAUUAAGAAACAUGAUCCCCGCUGCUACCGGGUUAAAACUACCCACAUGCUGUCCAGAAGACCACCUAUCAACCCGGACUCUAGAUUCUAGGAUUAAAGAUGAGCUCCGGGAGGGCAGCAUGAGCCAAUGCAAGAUGGCACCACUAUAAACACUUGCCUGCGCCAGAACGGGCUGGGCCGACCAUCAGGCCCCACUGGGAAGAAGCCUUGGGCCGACCAUCAGGAUCCACCGGGAAGAAGCCUACCGGCGCAAUAGGCCAUGACGUAAAAAAAAUAAAACAUAUUUGACAAGGCUUUCAGUGGAGGUUUGGGCAUUUUCCGAGAUGCUUUUAUGAUCUGUGGAAAUGUGACCCUUCCUCUGUGCCAUCAACCUAAAAAACACAUAUUUGACAAGGCUUUCAGAGGUGUUAUAUACAGGCAGGGGUGCUUUUAUGACCCAGCUGAAAAUGUGACCCUUCCUCUGUACCAUCAACCUCAAAACACACCCUUGAGAACCCAAUUACGGACCUUUUCAGCCUUGGAAUUAUACAAUCAACAACAGACAUACAAAUCAACACUAAAAUAACACAAUAAAAAUUAAUACAUAAAUACAAGUCCUGAAAAUGUAGACUGUUAGAGUAGGCAAAUAUAUUAAUUGGUAGAUUAUUUUAUGAGAGGUAAGGCAUGGUAGAGGUUGCAUGUGCUUGGUAAGGUUUUCAUAUAGUAUAGUAUGUUUCCCGGGCAUCUGAUGUGCUUGGUAAUGCUUUUUAACACAGUAGCAGCGACGGGCCAAAUUUGUGGCUUUACCGUGUAGCAGCGACGGGCCAAAUUUGUGGCUUUACCAUGUAGCGGCGACGGGCCAAAUUUGUGCCAUGAUAUAAACCCCCCAAAAUAGAUGAUACAUAAUCUGAUGACAAAUGCUUGGAUAUGUAUUAUGAAAUGGUUUGUGUGAGUGAUGAUUUUUUCUCAUUUUUCUCGCU